GCUCCGUUGGUGUAAUUGGCAGCAUGCCACGUUCUCAGCGUGGAGAUUAUGGGUUCAAGUCCCAUACGGAGUGCCA
rnacentral:tRNA from 1 species